CGUACUCCCCAGGCGGGGCACUUAAUGCGUUAGCUACGGCGCGGAAAACGUGGAAUGUCCCCCACACCUAAUGCCCAACGUUUACGGCAUGGACUACCAGGGUAUCUAAUCCUGUUCGCUCCCCAUGCUUUCGCUCCUCAGCGUCAGUUAAUGCCCAGAGACCUGCCUUCGCCAUCGGUGUUCCUCCUGAUAUCUGCGCAUUUCACCGCUACACCAGGAAUUCCAGUCUCCCCUACAUCACUCUAGUCUGCCCGUACCCACCGCAGAUCCGGAGUUGAGCCCCGGACUUUCACGGCAGACGCGACAAACCGCCUACGAGCUCUUUACGCCCAAUAAUUCCGGAUAACGCUUGCGCCCUACGUAUUACCGCGGCUGCUGGCACGUAGUUAGCCGGCGCUUCUUCUGCAGGUACCGUCACUUUCGCUUCUCCCCUACUGAAAGAGGUUUACAACCCGAAGGCCGUCAUCCCUCACGCGGCGUCGCUGCAUCAGGCUUGCGCCCA
rnacentral:rRNA from 1 species